GACACGCAGAGGUCCUUAAACACGGCGUGUUGUUUAUACGCCUCCAGUUAUUCCACCUUCAGAAACUCAGUCAAAUAUUUGCUCCUGCAGGAUUCAAAAACAGCGACGAGAUCACAACCAUCGCGUCUGCUGGCUGUCACCUGUGGGGUCCUCAACACCGGCUGUGACUGACCACCAGUGACCCCUGCUGACAGCACCCAGCACCCAGCACCCAGCACCCAGCAGCGUGUGUCGGUGUGUGGAGGGAGACCUGGCCUGCAGGCGCCUGGAGCAGCAGCGGCCCACAGGUGGCUGAAUGAGGCUCCAGCUGCAGGCCGCUGGAGUCUGAGCAGUGUUGAACAGAUGAACCUCCACAGGACAGAUCCCUCCAUCUGUCACCACUGAGGUUAAAAUAAAACACAGCCACAUCACCAGGUCAUAAUUUAGAAACAUGCAAAAAGAGAAUAUAAAGUCCU